CAGUAAGCCGGCACGAUAAGUCAGUGGCGAAAUCCCGCAGGCUUUAACUUGGAAACUUCCCAUUGAUAACUGUCGGUCUAGAGUAAAUUUGAAGUGGCUGGAAUAAGUAGUGUAGCGGUGAAAUGCAUAGAUAUUACUUAGAACACCAAUUGCGAAGGCAGGUCACUAAGAUUUAACUGACGCUGAGGGACGAAAGCGUGGGGAGCGAACAGGAUUAGAUACCCUGGUAGUCCACGCCGUAAACGAUGCUAACUCGUUUUUGGAUUUUCGGAUUCAGAGACCAAGCGAAAGUGAUAAGUUAGCCACCUGGGGAGUACGAUCGCAAGAUUGAAACUCAAAGGAAUUGACGGGGGCCCGCACAAGCGGUGGAUUAUGUGGUUUAAUUCGAUGAUACGCGAGGAACCUUACCAAGACUUAAAUGGGAAUUGACAGAUUUAGAAAUAGAUCCUCCUUCGGGCAAUUUUCAAGGUGCUGCAUGGUUGUCGUCAGCUCGUGCCGUGAGGUGUUAGGUUAAGUCCUGCAACGAGCGCAACCCCUGUCACUAGUUGCUAACAUUAAGUUGAGGACUCUAGUGAGACUGCCUACGCAAGUAGAGAGGAAGGUGGGGAUGACGUCAAAUCAUCACGGCCCUUACGUCUUGGGCCACACACGUAAUACAAUGGCCGGUACAGAGGGCAGCUACACAGCGAUGUGAUGCAAAUCUCGAAAGCCGGUCUCAGUUCGGAUUGGAGUCUGCAACUCGACUCUAUGAAGCUGGAAUCGCUAGUAAUCGCGCAUCAGCCAUGGCGCGGUGAAUACGUUCCCGGGCCGCCGGUGUGCAGCCCCCGUC
rnacentral:rRNA from 1 species